rnacentral:rRNA from 1 species
AGCCAACCUCUAGCCCAACCACACUAUACUAAAAACCAACUACUUCCACUAAACUAAAGCAUUCACUUAGCCCAGUAUAGGCGAUAGAAAAGCAUGAAAUGGAGCGAUAGAGACUUGUACCGUAAGGGAAGGAUGAAAUAACAGUGAAAACCACAGCAACACAUAGCAAAGAUUAACCCUUGUACCUCUCGCAUCAUGAUUUAGCAAGAACUCCCAAGCAAAACGAAUUUAAGCUUGCCCCCCCGAAACUCGAGCGAGCUACUUGCAAGCAGCUAUCUAAUGAGCGAACCCGUCUCUGUAGCAAAAGAGUGGGAUGACUUGCUAGUAGUGGUGAAAAGCCAACCGAGCCGAGUGAUAGCUGGUUGCCUGUGAAAUGAAUCUAAGUUCCCCCUUGAUUGCUUUUUCCUCCAGGCCCAAUAACCUUAAUGUAAUCAAUCAAGAGCAAUUUAAAGGAGGUACAGCUCCUUUAAAAAAGAAAACAACCUACCAUAGAGGAUAACCAAAGUUCUCCACAAACCUUGUAGGCCCUUAAGCAGCCACCAACAAAGAGUGCGUCAAAGCUCCACAUUAAAGAAAUUCGGAAACAAUACGAAUCCCUCCCCACUAACGGGCCAACCUAUGCCAAUAGAAGAAUCAAUGCUAAAAUGAGUAACUAGGGAUUCCCCUCUCAAGCGCAAGCUUACAUACACACAUUAUUAACAAUGCCUAACUAACACCCCACCAACAACAAGCACCACAUUAGAAUUGCACUGUUAACCCAACCCAGGAGCGCUUACUAGAAAGAUUAAAAUCUGUAAAAGGAACUAGGCAAACCAAAGACCCGACUGUUUACCAAAAACAUAGCCUUCAGCAAUCCAAGUAUUGAAGGUGAUGCCUGCCCAGUGACCACAGUUUAACGGCCGCGGUAUCCUAACCGUGCGAAGGUAGCGCAAUCAAUUGUCCCAUAAAUCGAGACUUGUAUGAACGGCUAAACGAGGCCUUAACUGUCUCUUACAGAUAAUCAGUGAAAUUGAUCUUCCCGUGCAAAAGCAGGAAUACACACAUAAGACGAGAAGACCCUGUGGAACUUAAAAAUCAGCGGCCACCACACACAACUGCACACCUACUAGGCCCACACCACCAAGCAACUGGCCUGCAUUUUUCGGUUGGGGCGACCUUGGAGAAAAACAAAACCUCCAAAAAUAAGACCACACCUCUUAACCUAGAGCAACCACCCAACGUACUAACAGUACCCAGACCCAACAAACAAAUGAUCAAUGGACCAAGCUACCCCAGGGAUAACAGCGCAAUCCCCCUCAAGAGCCCAUAUCGACAGGGGGGUUUACGACCUCGAUGUUGGAUCAGGACAUCCUAAUGGUGCAGCCGCUAUUAAGGGUUCGUUUGUUCAACGAUUAACAGUCCUACGUGAUCUGAGUUCAGACCGGAGCAAUCCAGGUCGGUUUCUAUCUAUGUAUUACUCUUCCUAGUACGAAAGGAGCGAAAGAGUGGGGCCAAUACCACAAGCAUGCCCCCUCCCCAAGUAUUGACCCCUUCUAAAAUACGAAUGGAACUAACACCCAACCAACACCCUAGAAAAGGGCA